GACGAACGCUGGCGGCGUGCCUAAUACAUGCAAGUUGAGCGAUGAAGAUUGGUGCUUGCCCCAAUUUGAAGAGCAGCGAACGGGUGAGUAACGCGUGGGGAAUCUGCCUUUGAGCGGGGGACAACAUUUGGAAACGAAUGCUAAUACCGCAUAACAACCUUAAACAUAAGUUUUAAGUUUGAAAGAUGCAAUUGCAUCACUCAAAGAUGAUCCCGCGUUGUAUUAGCUAGUUGGUGAGGUAAAGGCUCACCAAGGCGAUGAUACAUAGCCGACCUGAGAGGGUGAUCGGCCACAUUGGGACUGAGACACGGCCCAAACUCCUACGGGAGGCAGCAGUAGGGAAUCUUCGGCAAUGGACGAAAGUCUGACCGAGCAACGCCGCGUGAGUGAAGAAGGGUGUCGGAUCGUAAAACUCUGUUGGUAGAGAAGAACGUUGGUGAGAGUGGAAAGCUCAUCAAGUGACGGUAACUACACAGAAAGGGACGGCUAACUACGUG
rnacentral:rRNA from 1 species